rnacentral:lncRNA from 1 species
CCCGCCACCACGCCCGGCUAAUUUUUUGUAUUUUUAGUAGAGACGGGGUUUCACCGUGGUCUCGAUCUCGUGACCUCUUGAUCCGCCCGCCUCGGCCUCCCAAAGUGCUGGGAUUACAGGCGUGAGCCACCGCGCCCGGCGCAGGGCGUGCCCAGGGCUUCUGAUGCCAGAGCCCAGGAAUGAGCUUUUGCCUUUUGGAUUCAGGGCUUCCCUGUACUCUCACAGAGUCAGAAUGGCCGUAUGUUUACAUGUGAAGCCCUGGGGCUCCCUGGCCCCUUCCUGGGCCGUUCUCCACCUUUUCUCUUCUCACCCUUUGCUGUUCCCUGAGUCAUGCAAUCCAUAGUGAAGAGGCCAGAGGCCCGGAUGGGGAAGUGCCGGGGGCAGCCGUGGCAGCUUCAUCACAGAGCUCCUGGGGACUGAUGCACACAGCUGUGGAAAUGAUAGUAAGGCUCUUUGUUAGAGCUCUUGUGGCUGCCUGGAGAUGAUGCUGCCUUGGCCAUGGCCUGCUGUUAUCCUCGGGGAGCUGGGACGUGGGCACAGGGGCAUGCAUUUCCCCCUCAGCACUAGCUCCAAGGGACAAUGUGCAGCACUUGCUGAGGGCAGAAGAAAAUGGAAAACAAAGACAAACAAACCAAAGAAGGCGGAUGAAGUAGAAGCCAUUCAUUCUUUCCAUGAACAUUGACCCUAUAUCCUGAAGGUGGAUCCAAUGAAAAAAGAGAAGCAGCAAGAGUGGCUUCUGUUUCCCUGGCUGGACUCUGAGUAAUAUAGCAGCAAUAAUUUCCCAAGGGAAAGGAGGAAGACGGGUUGGCUCCAAUGAAGACACUUAUGAUGUGAAGAGUUCCCGUAACAGUUCACCAUCUCUGGGGCAGUUAUACAACAGGGAUCCCUGACUUCUUCAGAACCGAGAGUUCAAAUCAGGACUAUCUGGUGAUGAAUCUAUCCACUAGAAGCUGAUAUGAAGAGUCAGGUCACUAGAAAACAGAAUAUCAUGUGAUUGUGUUUGACUGCACAACUGGUCUCUAUCAAUAUCUAUGCCUGAAGAGGAAGAAUGUUUGCCUAGUAAGGUAAAAUAUUUGGUUAUCUACCUCUGUUUGCCUGACUUAUCCCUGCUGGUAUUAGUAACCACUAUAGAGGAAGAACAAAUAGACAAUUACAAGAAUGUGUGUCAAGAUCUUGGACACAAAAUUAUUUCAUAUUGUUUACAUGUAAUACUAAUCUAAAGCUUGCUAAGACUCAAGUAAAAUGUUAGGGUCAGAAAAGACAACAUAACUAGAAGCCCUCUUGUUAUGUUGAAUAGGAAAGAAAAAAAGUCCACUGGGUAUGAAUCACAUAAGUUGCCUCUGUGGCAGGUGCCUGCAGCAAUUACUUUCCAAUGGGUGCUUAAUAAAAACAGAAGAUGGAAAACUCAAUACGUAAGGUCAAUACUGAUAACAGUUCAUUAGCACAAGUUGAGGACAAGCGAAGGAUGAAUGUGCCUUGUCCUCCAAGCAGCUGAAGUGCACUUCCCCAGGCUUCUGUCUUCUCUUCUGAGUCACUGAGUCUCUGUGCUCUUUGACACCCUAUAACUGGAGGAUUAUGAUUACUUAGUAGGCUUCUGUGCUUAACUUGAUAAAACAAUAAAAAGUCACACAGAGAAAUCUUAAAAACUCGAGGUAGCUUGUAAAGCCACAACUCCACUGUUAUUUCAUACCACCUUCCUCUCUAUCUCACUUCUCCACAUUGAAAUAUGCCCCUUUCCUUGAGAUAUGAAUCACUAAAGUACAAAAACUAGUUUUAAAGUAUGCACAGUUGACCAGGCACAGUGGCUUACACUUAUAAUGCCAGCACUUUGGAAGGCUGAGGCAGGAGCAUCACUUGAGGCCAGGAGUUUGAGAGCAGCCUGGGCAAUAGAGCCAGACCCUCUUUCUACCAAAAAUAAUAAUAAUAAAAAACAGCUGGGCAUGGCGGUGCAAGUCUGUAAUCUCAGCUACUCAGGGGGCUGAGGCAGAAGGAUGAGUUGGGCCCAGAAGUUUGAGGCUGCAGUGAGCAAUGAUUGUACCACUGUACUUCAGCCUGGGUGACAGAGCAAGAGCCUGUCUGUUAAUAAAUGAAAAAUAUAAAAUAAAAUAAAAUAUUGAUAGUAGUAUUUAGUGGGAAAACAUUAAUUUGAGUCUACUCAUAAUUUUGAAUUUUGAGAUCUGGAUUCAUUUAAUAAAAAUCAUGUUGAGUACAUUUUCCAAACUAUUUGAAUACAUGUUCUCCUUAUCUUAUGAACUAAUUUAACUUUACCAUAGCUUCAGAGAAAAUGGCUUGCCUCGUGGUGUGUGAUAACCUUUGGGUGGGCACAACUCCAUCAGCAGCUAUUCCUGAGACAGGAGAUGGUGGCUCUGUGAUCACAGUUUCAUUGGAAUAUUUGGUGUAAAAUGUAAAAGAAAAUAUGGCAACACAUGGGAGGAUGACAACAGAGGGGCUACGGUGACAUAUUGCAGGGGUCAUGAGAGUCAUAGGAGACACUUGGCAUCCUAAGGACCAAAUCUUAAAAGGAAAGCCCAGGACAAUUGUGUAUUUCCCUUUGUAAAUGGUAUUAAACGCAUUUAAAAAGUAUUACAUCUAGAGAGCUAAGUUAAUGUUCAAGUCCCUCUAAUCUAUCUGCCCACUUCCCACCGCUGCCUUCUAGCACAUUUCAUAGAGAGGAUAAUUCCUUUUUAAUUGAUUUCUCUCUGGGCAGCAUUUCCUUUCUUUGUAAUAACGCAUCCUGCACAACGAGCUCUUUAGACUUCAGAACAUUAUAAUCUAAAGAAAAGGCAGAAUCAUCUCCACCAAAUGUGGAAAUCUGAUUGUGUAGUGGGGAAGACUUAGCUCCCUCAAGUUGUGCUCUAGGGCCAAACCCUUUUCCAUUUCUACUGAGGAUGUCUCUGGAGUGCUGAGAGGUGGAACUCCAAUUAGGGGAAGACUGAGGGGCUGUUCCUAUAGACGCUCCAUGGGAGGGCCACUUAAUAACAGGAAGCUCAUUGGUCCUGAAGCCCUCAGGGUCCUCCAGAGGGCUAGGGUGCCAACAGGGACAUCCUUGGAGGGGUCCUCACCCUGGGCUUGGAGAGUCCAUCUCACCAUCACUCUCAGAUGAUUGCCUGGCAGCUGCAGGAUGUCCCAGGGCCCGACUUCUCCCUUUCACAGCCUCACUCAUCUCCCUGAGGUAUGUCUUUCCUGAGGUUCUGGAAUCAAGAAUGUUUAGUAAAUCAUAUAGGCCUGUCUGGGACCUUUUCAUGGCAGAUGUUUCUGAAUUCUUUCUCUCUUGACAGAUAACUCUCCCAUCUUCCAGGAAUUAUUAAUGAGUUUUCUAGUUCUCUGAUCUCUUGGUGAUACUUUAACCAGCAAGACAUUUUGUUGUCUUGUCAUUUUGCCUAACCCAAUUUUUAUUUUUUCUUGAAAAAAAAUCAGUAUAAUAUGCUAAGAUCAACAGAACUUUGGGCUGGUCUUCUAAGGAAAUGGUGUCACCCUUUUAAAAGAAAACAUCAAAGCAAGCAACCAACAAUUGCAAUAGAAGGCCAACACUGUUCCUUCUAAAAACAGGUCAGAAUCAUCGUCUCUCUGGCUUUGAAGAACUUUGCAUUGCUAGGUCUCUGUUAUUUUCUCCCAGCCAUUCUUUUCGGGAUUUUCUGUCUGCUGCCAUCCGCUAACCUUUGCAUCCCCUUUCUCCAGCCUACCCCUCAUGUUGGGGUAACAGCCUGUUGUAUCUGUAAAAAUACAACACAUGUCUCAACAAGAUUUCUAGCUUAGUCACGGCAGCCACCAGAACACUCUACAAAUGUAAAAGAUGACCCCAACCUGAAGGCUUUGGAAUAUCUAACUCAAAAAUAAACUUUGUUCUGGAGAAAUAGGAAAUGUAUCCAGCAAAAACAACUUCAGCUCUUUCACAGGUGAAAAUAAAAGGACUGGUGGCAAAUCAAAGCACUACUUGGUACAGAGAUUGCUGUUUGCUUGGUCAAAGGUUGCACUGUCACCCUUUUCAAAGUUUAAUUGCCUUCACAGCAAUCUACCCGGUAUUGGCUUUCCUGUUUGUCUUAUUAGGGCAGCAAAGUACACCCUGUGUUCUCCUCACAGGGAAUAUCUUGUUUCAUCACUAAUUGUCAAGAUUUGGGAAAAGGUCAACUAAGCUUAUCUAAACGCCUACUAAAAAUAAAAACCCUUUGAAUGAUUAUCUUUUCUAAAAAGAUAAAUUAUGGUGAACAUUACUUGUAAAAUCUUAGUCUAAUAAUCUUUCUCAAGACAUUUGCAUUUCAUUAAUAAUGUUAACAUAUUCCUGACAUGUUAUUAAUGUUUUACAGAUUAGAAAGUGUGUGUAUAUAUGUGACUUUAUUCAUUUUCAAAACAGCAUUUUGAGGUAAGAAAUAUUAUUUUUUCUUUUUAAAAUUAUAGAUGAUAAAAUUACAUUUCAAAUAAUGUAUAUAACUGGCUCACGAAAAUAUAGCAAACCAAAGUUUCCAUUAUUCCACAUUGCUUCUCAUCAUUUCUUAGACUGAAGAAUGGAAAGUUCAUGGACCUGUAAUUAGUGACAGACACAAGAGGGACAGAUGAACUCCUGAUAUUAUAUCUAAAGCUUGACCCCUCCCUCUUCUUUCCAGAGUAGUUCAAAAUUACACCCUAUUCUACCCAUUGUGGGCCAAGAAGCAGCACCUGAUGACCCCAUGUUACAUGGCGAGCCCCAAAGGGACCAUUCUCACCUUAAAUAAUUUCAUGGCACGCAAGACCAAAGAACUCCAUAGUGGCACACACCAACUAGUUGCAUGACAGAGGACACAAGGGAGAUUCUGAACCCUGCUACCUCUCUGUUUUGUGGCUAAAAGUUCAACAGAUACAGGAUUUGAAGGCAUCCCAUGCUGGGAUUGGAGAGGCUCACCUUUACAUUGUUUUGGGAAAGUAUUAUUCUUCUCCAAUGAAGUUGUGUGUUAGAUGCAAGUUAUUCUGACUGACCUUGGGAUUGUCAACCUUAUCUUCUUCUUAGUUCAAGCACAAAAAGACAAGGUUUGUGCACCCCUUGUCUCAGUUGUGAAUAAAUGUUGGCCUAAUCCUGAGGAUAAAAAUAGAGCAAUCUCUCAUUAAAAUUCAAGUUAUAUGAGGAGAAAGUUGUUUUCUUUUCUGUUUUGUUCACUGCUGCUUCCUUAUUGUCUACAAACAUGCCUGGUACAUCAUAGAGGCUGAAUAUGUAGUAUUUGGAUGGAAUAUAAUAUACGGAUGUGUGUGUAUCUGUCUGUAUGUCUGCCUGUCUGUCUGUCUGUCUAUAUCUCAACACUUUGUCAAAUCUGACCCUCCCGACCUUAAGGAGCAUGGUGUGGUAGACAAUGAUCACGCUCCUAAUACACAUUCUCCCCAUUCCUUCCUGGUGAUAAAACUCUCAAUUUUUAGCUGGGUGCAUGGCCAUUUAGAGGAAAGACUGCAUUUCCCAAUCUUCCUUGCAGCUAGACCUUGCCAUGUGGUUAGGAUCUGAGCAGUAGGUGGAGGGGAACGUCUCCUGUCCAAGUUCAGUAGGUAUCUUGCCUCUUUCCCUCUGCCUAAAUGUGCGUGAGAUGGCUGGAACACCAGAGGCCAGGAGGUAGAAGCCACAUGUUCAAGAUGAUGGAGCAAUUCCAUGGCUGGAGCCUGAGGUCCUGACAAUCAUGAUGCACAGCCCCAUAAGCCACUGUUAAGCCACUGUUAUUUUGGGUUUUCUGUCACAUGCUUUUUUCCAUAAUACCUUUAUAAAGUUUUCUAAUAGUUGAAUGAAUACAACAUUCUAUUUUAUUGCUAUAUUCUUGCUUUUGUUUUCAUUGAACACGAAUUUUGUGGAGUGUUGCUUCUGCUUGUAAUCAAUGUUGACUCAUCCUAGAAAUCUAAUCUCAACUCUCCUGCGUGGUAGAGGCUCAGAUGGAAACUCCUGCACAUCUUGUUUCUUGCUGCCCAUCGUCAGUGGACAAGGCCUGGCAGCUUGCAGGGAGAGGAUCACUGAGGAUGAACAGGAUAAAUCUUGACAUCUCGGAACAUUUCCUUUUUUUUUUUUUUUUUUUUCCAGACGGAGUUUUGCUCUUGUCGCCCAGGCUGGAGUGCAGUGGCAUGAUCUUGGCUCACUGCAAUCUCCUCCUCCCCGGUUCAAGUGAUACUCCUGCUUCAGCCUCCCGAGUAGCUGGUAUUACAGGCAUGCG